rnacentral:rRNA from 1 species
CCUACGGGAGGCAGCAGUAGGGAAUAUUGGUCAAUGGGUGAGAGCCUGAACCAGCCAUGCCGCGUGCAGGAAGACGGCCUUCUGGGUUGUAAACUGCUUUUAUCUGGGGAUAAAAAGGCCUUGCGAGGCACAUUGAAGGUACCAGAUGACUAAGCACCGGCUAACUACGUGCCAGCAGCCGCGGUAAUACGUAGGGUGCAAGGGUUGUUCGGAUUUAUAGGGUGCGUAGGCUGCGUAUUAGGUCUGUGGUGAAGUCCAACAGCUCAACUGUUGAUGUGCCAAUGAUACUGAUGGACUUGAGUACAGACGAGGUAGGCGGAAUUGACAGUGUAGCGGUGAAAUGCAUAGAUAUUGUCAAGAACACCGAUAGCGAAGGCAGCUUGCUAGCCUGUAACUGACGCUGAGGCACGAAAGUAUGGGGAUCAAACAGGAUUAGAUACCCUAGUAGUC